rnacentral:rRNA from 1 species
GACAGAGGGUGCAAACGUUGCUCGGAAUCACUGGGCGUAAAGGGCGUGUAGGCGGGAAGGAAAGUCAGAUGUGAAAUCCCCAGGCUCAACCUGGGAACUGCAUUUGAAACUCCCUUUCUUGAGUACCGGAGAGGAAAGUGGAAUUCCUGGUGUAGAGGUGAAAUUCGUAGAUAUCAGGAGGAACACCAGUGGCGAAGGCGGCUUUCUGGACGGUAACUGACGCUGAGGAGCGAAAGCGUGGGGAGCGAACAGG